rnacentral:lncRNA from 1 species
AUCUCAGUUGCCCUCUGAGCCUGAACCAAGUGUCAGGAAGAGUUUUCUAUGGCCCUUGACUCCUUAACUCUUUGCUUAUAGCGUCUCUGCUCUCUGAUGCCUCUGCUGUCAGAGAAAGGCUGUGGUUUAAAUAUUUAUUUAUGAAUCCAUCAGCUUGGGCCAACUAGGUCCAUUUAUCACCGUUUUGACUGUGUCUAAACUGUCAUUAGUGGUGUGACUAGAAACCAGUUAAUUUCGCUGGGUGGUAAAUUCGUGGACUGAUCUCCAAACCCUCCUACUGUGCUAAUGUUGCCAAUGGAAGUUUCCAGAGGCCAGGAUCCCUGGCCAACACGUGAUCGUAAACAACAUCAGGGCCUCACAGGGAACUCACAAUUUACUGAGGUUUGCUCUGUGCCAGGUGUUUUCAUGAUCCUCCAUCCCCUUGUCGUUUAGUCCUCUUCUCUGAGUCCUCCCCAUUUUACUGAUGAGGACGGAAAUCGAGGCACACGAUUAAGCGUUUCCCUGGGUCACACAGCUAAUGAAUGGCGAGCUGGAAGUCAGUCCCAGGUCAUCAGACUCCGAAGUCCAUGGUUUUGGUGAUGAAGGUGGGCUGUGAAAUGUGUGUCUUAUUCUAUGCAUGUGAGUCCGCUGGAACCAACUUUUCCACUUGGAACACAAUCUCAGUGCCUUUCAGCAGGUAACCGGCGCCAGACCAGAUCUCCAGAGAUGGAGGUGGUCGGCCUCAGGGCCCAGCCAUGAGAAGGUGUAUGAGGAGGCAUCGCAUCAGGCGCCCACCCUGUGCUUGCAGGGCCUGACCAUGAGCGCCGCCUUCAGUUUUACACCUUAGGCACCCCACUUGGCUCCCCUUCGUCCCAGCCCUGCCAGACCCACCCUUGACUCUGUGUUUCCUUUCUGGAAACUCGAGAGGCCAUUUCUACUUAAAGAGUCCUCACCUGGCCUACCAGCGACCAGAUCUGCCCAAGUGCAGAAGAAACACUUGGUUAUCUCCUCUUUCAUCGUCCCCGCUCGAGCAUAAAACAACAGAAAGUUUCCUAUCGGAACAGCAUGCUUGUGCCAAAAACAAAUUAGAAACAACAACAACUUCUCAAAAUUUUGAGCAAAAUGAUGGUGACCGUGUUCUGGAAAUGGAGCAAAGUGAGUGAGCCACUGUCACUGUUACAUCUGACAAUCACUACUGGUACUUGGCUAAAUAUUGCAGCCACCUCUUCAGGCUACACAUGUCAGGUGUACCAGAAGCACCUUCCGCCUCCAGCUCACUUCUGGGAGAUAUUUAGAGCUGACUCCUCUCCCCUCCCCAGUCUCCAGCCACCAGCAAGCUCUCUCCUUGGUGUCCCCAGCUCCUGCCCCUCAUGCUGAUAGAAGCAUUGCCCGCUGUUCUUCCUGUUCUUACAGGUUUCCUAGUGCCUGUGACCAAACACCUUGUGUGUGCUCCCCAGGAGAGAAAACCGCUAGCAGCCUCAGACAGGUGAGGAGUUGUUCCUCCUCAGACCCAGGAAUCAUUUCCCAGUGGAAUGACACGGUGAAGUGGAUCGCCAUUUUUAAACCUUCAAUAAUAAAGAUCUUGUGUGUCA